GUUUCCGUAGGUGAACCUGCGGAGGGAUCAAUUA
rnacentral:rRNA from 1 species